rnacentral:rRNA from 1 species
CUAAWAAYYYAGGGUGCUUCUCCGGMCCUGUUUUYCCCGCKGGGCCCSSCMGMGGGGGGGAWGRAUAUSUUUKUGGGGGGACCUUAGAGUUUGAUCCUGGCUCAGAACGAACGCUGGCGGCGUGCUUAACACAUGCAAGUCGAACGUGAUCCGGAGCUUGCUCCGGUGAAAGUGGCGCACGGGUGAGUAACGCGUGGAUAAUCUGCCCUGGUAUCUGGGAUAACAUCUCGAAAGGGGUGCUAAUACCGGAUAAGCCUACGGUCUCUUCGGAGUCUGCAGGAAAAGGUGGCCUCUAUUUAUAAGCUACCGUAUCAGGAUGAGUCCGCGUACCAUUAGCUAGUUGGUGGGGUAAUGGCCCACCAAGGCUACGAUGGUUAGCUGGUCUGAGAGGAUGAUCAGCCACACUGGAACUGAGACACGGUCCAGACUCCUACGGGAGGCAGCAGUGGGGAAUUUUGCGCAAUGGGGGAAACCCUGACGCAGCAACGCCGCGUGAGUGAUGAAGGCUUUCGAGUCGUAAAGCUCUGUCAGAGGGGAAGAAAUGAGUCUGGCUAAUAUCCAGAUUUCUUGAUGGUACCCUCAAAGGAAGCACCGGCUAACUCCGUGCCAGCAGCCGCGGUAAUAC